UUGCAGGCUAGUCAAGGGGAUCAUCUCCUUCAACUGGGAUAAGUGCUCAAAAUGAGUUCCAUUAGGAGCAUACUCAAGGUCCGUCAUCCUUGUCAAAGGUUAUACUCUUCACAAUAUCAAUGAGAUCAAGAAAAUUCUUGUGGUUCACAAGGUCGAUAUGCAAAAAAUUAGAGUCAAGAAGUGAAUAAUAUUGUGCAAAGGGUGUUCCCGUAGAGGUUCCAGUUGCCUCUAUAGUAUGCAGUCUCACCUAUUGAACUGUUGUGAAUCAAUGUUCUUGUAGUCAGCAUUGGAGUUCAUUUUUAGUUAGCAUUCAGGUUGUUCUGAA